UCUUGUGCUAAUGUUUGACUUUUUCCACACAGACCUGCUCCUCCCACUCCUGGUCAGACCAAUGGAAUCACAGAGCAACUGGUCGGCCGCUUCCAGGAGGCUGUACAGGUGAGUCGAGAUGAGAACCAGAACUACAGAGAGUACACCAUCUCCAGCCCAGCCUCUCUGUCACCUGGCCCAUAUUCACCUGAGCCACCAUCCAGCCUCGACCGCAAAGGGGGCAGAAUCACACCCACCAGUAAGAGCCUCCAGCUCCAUUCCUGGUCUUCAGAGGAGAAGAGCAUACAGAGUCACAGACUGUCCCGACCCCUCUCUCAGGUAGAGUCGCUCUCUCAACU